GAUGAACGCUAGCGGCAGGCUUAACACAUGCAAGUCGAGGGGCAGCACGGGUAGCAAUACCUGGUGGCGACCGGCAAACGGGUGCGGAACACGUACAGAAUCUACCGUUAUCUGGGGCAUAGCCCGGAGAAAUCCGGAUUAACUCCCCAUAAUAUAAAGGUGUGGCAUCAUACUUUUAUUAAAAAUUUAUUGGAUAAUGAUGACUGUGCGUCCCAUUAGCUAGUUGGUAGGGUAAAGGCCUACCAAGGCAACGAUGGGUAGCUGGUGUGAGAGCACGACCAGCCACACGGGCACUGAGACACGGGCCCGACUCCUACGGGAGGCAGCAGUGAGGAAUAUUGGUCAAUGGACGCAAGUCUGAACCAGCCAUGCCGCGUGAAGGAUGAAGGCCUUCUGGGUUGUAAACUUCUUUUAUUGGGGAAGAAAAUUAUGGUUUCUACUAUAACCGACGGUACCCAAGGAAUCAGCACCGGCUAACUCCGUGCCAGCAGCCGCGGU
rnacentral:rRNA from 1 species